rnacentral:lncRNA from 1 species
GGGAGGAUGGGUCUCUGACCAUGGGAUUUUGAAAUAGCAAUGAGCCUGAAUAACAUUUUGAGAUACUGGCAACAACGAAAGUGUGGAAUGAAACUUCCCGUUAUUUCUGCUGGCUAACACUAAGUGGUUGCCACCUAUGUUCAUAAUACAAGGAACUGCUCAGUUUCAACCAGAGGCUCUUGCUCCGUCGCCCAGGCUGAAGUGCAGUGGAGCGAUCACGAUCACGGUUCGCUGCAGCUUCAAACUCCUGAGCUCAAACGAUCCUCCCCGCUCAGCCUCCCAAGUAGCUGGGACUACUGGCACAUGCCACCACCCCUGGCUGAAAAUCACUCAUUUUUAAUGAGAAAAUGAAGCGGGAAAGGAAGCUACUCACAACAGCAACAAGAUCCGUACUAUAACCAAGAAUGAAACCAGAAUAUAGAGUUUUUGUGAUUAGAACGGGCAAAUAAAAGAACAAAGCUGAGUGGAGAGUCCAGAAUUCUCAGCCACUCCACUCCUAAGAAUCUGCCGUUUUUAAAAAGUGGACAUGUGCACAAAGGUAUACGUACAAAGAGGCUCAGAAAUAACAUUUGCAAGGGCAAAAACAUUGAGGCCAAUGCGAGUUUUUAUCAACAGGAGAAUGGUUAAAUGAAUAAUGUUAUAUCACAUUUGCAGUGUUUUAUUUAGAAAGGAAGCAUUGCUGUGAGUUCUGACAUGGAAUGAUCUCGGUGGUAUAUUGAAAAGCAAGUUCUAAUAUAAUUCCUCAAGCAUAAAAAAAACUAUAUGUUGAUAUAUUUAUGGAUAGAGGUAAUUGCAUAGAAAAAUGCCUGGAAAGAUACAUGUCAAACCAUUAUUGUGGUUAGUUCUGGGGGCCAUUUCCUUUAGAAAUUUUCUAUGAGAAUGGCCGGGUGCGGUGGCUCAUGCCUGUAAUCCUAGCACUUUGGGAGGCCGA